rnacentral:rRNA from 1 species
AGCUGGAAUCGCUAGUAAUCGCGGAUCAGAAUGCCGCGGUGAAUACGUUCCCGGGUCUUGUACACACCGCCCGUCACACCAUGGGAGUCGGAAAUGCCCGAAGUCUGUGACCCAACCGUAAGGAGGGAGCAGCCGAAGGCAGGUCGGAUGACUGGGGUGAAGUCGUAACAAGGUACC